GUAAUAUAAGAACCCGUCUCUUAACUUUUAACUAAAAAGGUUAAGAACCGGCUUUUAAAAUUCUUAUUUAAGAACAGAUUCUUGCUUUUUUAGUUAAAAGUUAAUAGACAGGUUCUUAUAUUCC
rfam:Brassica oleracea var. oleracea cultivar TO1000 chromosome C2, whole genome shotgun sequence